rnacentral:rRNA from 1 species
GCACCACAAAACGCGGAGUAUGUGGCUUAAUUUGACUCAACGCGGAAAAGCUUAUCUGGUCCGGACGCAGUGAGGAUUGACAGACAGUUAGACAAAAGUGGUUUUGGUAACAAAUUGAGAGAGGUGAAGUUCUUUCAUGAUCUUGUGAGAGGUGGUGCAUGGCCGUUCUUAGUUCGUGUAGUGAUAUGUCUGCCUAAUCGCGUCACGAUAACCUAUUGGUCGACAACCCAAUUAUCACAACUGCAGCAUAACUCCCCUUGGGUGGGCGAGGCUCUGUGUAGGAUAGACCUCUGAACAGUACGCAACGAACGUGAUCGUAAACCCUUGUUGAGUGGCCAUCCUGUAAGCUGCUGGAUUAGGAACCCAGUGGUAUUAUCUCAGCCACAGAUUUUCUGGUUGUAAUGGGCCAGUUUUGAAACUCGGGGCACAUCUGUGACUUUCUUUCUUAACGCAGAGGAAGGUUAUGGCAAUAACAGGUCUGUGAUG